rnacentral:rRNA from 1 species
AACGAACGCUGGCGGCAGGCCUAACACAUGCAAGUCGAACGCCCCGCAAGGGGAGUGGCAGACGGGUGAGUAACGCGUGGGAACCUUCCCAGUGGUACGGAAUAACUGACCGAAAGGUUGGCUAAUACCGUAUACGCCCGAAAGGGGAAAGAUUUAUCGCCAUUGGAUGGGCCCGCGUCGGAUUAGCUAGUUGGUGAGGUAAUGGCUCACCAAGGCGACGAUCCGUAGCUGGUCUGAGAGGAUGAUCAGCCACACUGGGACUGAGACACGGCCCAGACUCCUACGGGAGGCAGCAGUGGGGAAUAUUGGACAAUGGGCGCAAGCUUGAUCCAGCCAUGCCGCGUGAGUGAUGAAGGUCUUCGGAUUGUAAAACUCUUUCGCCGGGGAAGAUAAUGACGGUACCCGGAGAAGAAGCUCCGGCUAACUUUGUGCCAGCCGCCGCCGUAA